AUGAAAAUUGAGGCUGGCAGUAUCACUUGUUUGGGCUUUUGGCGUGCACAUAUCUCGCUUAUAAAAAACAACCGCCAGAAGGCACCACCGGUUGAUGUGGCCAAGAUACAUGUUGAUGCAGGGCUGUUGCGACCGGCCGGAGGAGGUGCUGCAGCCGCCGUGUGCAGGGAUGACCACGGCGCCUUCCUUGAGAGCUCUGCACUGGUUGUACAAGGCGUCCUAGAUCCAGCUACACUUGAGGCGAUCGCGUGUAGGGAAGAUUGCAUUCUCCUUGGCAGAAGACCUGAACAUUCAGCGGAUGCUGAUUGCAUCUGA
rnacentral:rRNA from 1 species